UGUUCUGAACAGUGGAAGUGG
rnacentral:misc_RNA from 1 species